AUUGAACGCUGGCGGCAUGCUUUACACAUGCAAGUCGAACGGCAGCACGGGUGCUUGCACCUGGUGGCGAGUGGCGGACGGGUGAGUAAUGCAUCGGAACGUGUCCUGAAGUGGGGGAUAACGCAUCGAAAGAUGUGCUAAUACCGCAUAUUCUCUGAGGAGGAAAGUAGGGGAUCGAAAGACCUUAUGCUUUUGGAGCGGCCGAUGUCUGAUUAGCUAGUUGGUAGGGUAAUGGCUUACCAAGGCGACGAUCAGUAGUUGGUCUGAGAGGACGACCAACCACACUGGGACUGAGACACGGCCCAGACUCCUACGGGAGGCAGCAGUGGGAAUUUUGGACAAUGGGCGCAAGCCUGAUCCAGCAAUGCCGCGUGAGUGAAGAAGGCCUUCGGGUUGGUUAAAGGACUCUUUCUAGUUGAGAAGAAAAGUACGUAGACUAAUAAUACAUGAUUCAUGACGGUAUCAACAGAAGAAGACACCGGCUAACUACGUACG
rnacentral:rRNA from 1 species